AUUGAACGCUGGCGGCAUGCCUUACACAUGCAAGUCGAACGGCAGCACGGGAGCAAUCCUGGUGGCGAGUGGCGAACGGGUGAGUAAUAUAUCGGAACGUGCCCAGUCGUGGGGAUAACGUAGCGAAAGCUACGCUAAUACCGCAUACGAUCUAAGGAUGAAAGCGGGGGAUCGCAAGACCUCGCGCGAUUGGAGCGGCCGAUAUCAGAUUAGGUAGUUGGUGAGGUAAAGGCUCACCAAGCCGACGAUCUGUAGCUGGUCUGAGAGGACGACCAGCCACACUGGGACUGAGACACGGCCCAGACUCCUACGGGAGGCAGCAGUGGGAAUUUUGGACAAUGGGCGCAAGCCUGAUCCAGCAAUGCCGCGUGCAGGAUGAAGGCCUCGGUUGUAAC
rnacentral:rRNA from 1 species